UGUGCCAGAACUGUGUGCCAUUUUAUUAAGAAGAAGAAAUAAAGGCGGUAAGAACACUACAACACACAACCACACUGUCCCCAUUCUUCAUGCACACCUUUAAAAUAUGUACAUGCCCUUGGCCUAAGAUUUCACUUAGAUCUGGCUCAAGAACAAAGGAGGUAGGAAAUGCCUCCAGGCGCCACAGCUGUAGCUCUUCACAAGCAAGCUGAAGUGCUCUAGCUAUACUAGGAGAAACCCUAUUAAACACACAACGGGUGCGGUGGUUCCACAAGGUCCAGGCCCCUAGAAUAAUGAGGGAGUUAAGUCCCUUCCGAAUCAGGUUUUAUCAACUCCAACAACAGAUUUUUUUUCCAACCUAUCAACAAGAGAACUCCACAGCUUGUGGAGCAAGGAUCGUAGCCGACCAUUUGCAAAAUCUUGAGCCAAAACUCCCAGGAAAACACACAGGACAAGAGGUGGUUGAUCGUCUCUUCAUCUUGACCACAAUGAGGGCACUGGACUGGAUUUGGAAGGUCUCGUGUGCAAGACGAACAGCAGUCCAACAUCUACAGCGGGUAACUAGCCACAAAAUGAAGUGACAUUUGCCUGGGCCCAAUAUUUCCAAAUUAUUUCCCACAGAAGAGACCCUCGUAUGCUGUCUUAGUGGAGUCAUGACCAUUAGCCGAGAAAUGUGAAAUUUGAGAGUCCUCCGCACCAGGUUGCAGGGCCACCUCAGAAAAGAAGAUCCCAAUUACUUUGGAUAUCAGAAAUCUAGGCCUGACCAGUGAGGGCCUCAGGCACUUUCCUUUUGGGAGCCAAUCUAAACACACGAGAAGCAAGAUUGGCUACUGUUAUGUGGCUGCUGGGAUGAGGGAGAUUGAUUGGGAUUGAGGGAGCGACGGUUGAAGGCGUGAACAGUACCCAUGGGUACUGUUCACAGGGAGGGUGAGAGAGGAGACUAGGGUUUUGGACGCUAGGAACGCUAGCCGCGGGGCUCUGCCCACGGCCGGCAAGAGAGAAGGGAUUUCCUUCUAAUCUCUUGCUUGAUU
rnacentral:lncRNA from 1 species